UAUCCAGGCCCCUCUCUUUAGAUUCCCUGCAUUUUCCUGCGGAGCGGAAUGUUACACUGCAGCUCUGCAGGGCCUUCCGCGUGGUCGUCUGUCCUUCCCGUCUGAGUCCUUUGGGAGUCCGACUCAUUCCCGCUGCACAGAUGCGUCUGCCAGCCGCCCUCCUGGCUACAUCUUCUUGCACUACUUGCCUUCACCCUGAUCUCAGUUCUGAAAGAGACGUCUUUUUUCCUGCCAAAAUGAAAAACAAACAAACAAAAUGAAACCCGGACAUAUAUUCUAGAGAGUUAUUUUUUUUGAUUUGAUUGUUUCUUGAAAUUUAUAAUACAUUCUUACGAUAACACUUCCUUUGACUAUUUGGUCCAAGGAAGCAUUUAAGAAAGAGAGUUUUUGCAGUUUUCUCCUCUAGAAUUAGCUGGUUUUCAAGUAUCUGCUGGAUCUGCAGAGGGAAGUGGCUCUGCAGCGAACUCUCUUCCCCAGACGCGCAGGUGAGCAGUGGGGACUAAACUUCUAAAGCUGCGACCAAGCUUCUGUCUAGAACCUGGACCACGUUCUGGGCCUGUCGCAUUUUCCCAGAGACGUUGCAGGGAGAAAGUUCCAGGCCCAGCCCUCAGGGGUCUUGUGUGCAUCCGCUCUCUGUCUUGGGACCCUGCCUUUGCCGUGAAGAAAAGGCCAGGCUGACCCACCGGAGCACAGGAGGCUACGUGGAGCUGCGCCGAGCCUGCCCGGCCCAGGGGCCCCUCAGCCGACCGGCAGUGACGACCGAUUAGGAGCCCAAGUUGAGUCAGCUGAGCUCUGCCCACAUCAGCAGUGUUCCAGCCACUCUGUAUACCCGUGACAAAUGUGACUUGUUGCCUUUUGAAAGCACCACGUUUUGGGGUGGCUUGUCAGGCAGCGAUAGCUGAGCGGUACAGUCAAUAAACAUCUUUUGCGGCUAAAUCAGAAGGAUCCUUCUUUCAGUCCUUGUAGCAGAGACUGUUAUGGGUGCCCUUUUCAUCACGAAGUACAGCAGACGGUCCUCUCACCUCCUGGGCCAUGUGACUGAUUCCAGCUCGUGGGAUGCAGGCAGGAGGAAUGUGGGCUCGCCCACGCUUUCGGCCCCUGGGCUGGAUGGAGGGGACACAGCAACCCGAGUGGCCACAUGGAGGGUGGCUGCUCCUCGGGGGUGUCUGCCACAGGCGGGGUGUGAGCAGGACGCCGACUCGGACUGUGCCAAGUC